GCUUAGCUCAGAGGUUAGAGCAUCGCAUUUGUAAUGCGAUGGUCAUCGGUUCGACUCUGAUAUCA
rnacentral:tRNA from 1 species